ACUACAAAUCUCUUACUGUAUUUCUAUUUUUGUGAAAGUUCAAACAAAGUGCCUCUACGUGAUAUGUGACCAUAACCUGAUUCAGUUUUGUAAUAUGUUUGUUUUGCUGUAACAUGAUUCUCCCAAUGUCCUGCAGGCUAAAAGUACACGCAUCACAUGGGAUCUGAGGAUAAACAAGUGAUCAAGAAGUGAAUAUUCUGAGCUGAAAACACCCUGCAACAGGCCUCAACACAUUUCAGUUCACUGACCUAGAUAAUUAUGACUGUCUGAGAACAGGUUUCUGUUGCACCCCUUCCAUCAUCCCUUUUCCUGUCUGCAGUAUCUACACAAAGGACCCACAGGCAGAAAGCUCACUGCGUAACAACAACAAUGUCCAUCGUAAUAAAGGGCUUAAAAAGUGAAGACAAACCAGAGCAUACAAGGAGAUUAUGGGACAAUAUCAGUUUUGUAGGCUUGUCUCCUGCACACUAGAAGAUGAAUCAUCGUUGGUGGUUUUGGAGAGGAUGUUUAGACACUACAGAAAAGAGGUGAGUUUAGAGUGGGUAUGGAGAAGUUAUGUGUGUUUAUAUGCAGCUCCAUGUAGGUUUGAAGAGGCAUUUUUUAUCAAAUAAACAGAUGGGCAAUAUGUGGACUAAUUAAAGCUUGAGUCUUGUCACUGGAUAAUAAAUGAAAAAAAUGAGUCAUAGGAUGAUAAUAGUUGUCAAUGAUUUGGCAGCUAUUGAAAAGUGAUUUUUUCAUUUGUUUGUUUAUUGUGAGAAGAACUGUCAAAAAUGCAAAGAGCUGUGUGAGCUAAUCGAAGUGUUGAGUUUUGAAGACAGUCUUGGCAGCAGUUUAUAAACAGAUAUGUCUGCAGCAAAAAUGCCUUUGUCAGGGCCAAGAUGCUACAGUAAGUGAUCUGUAAAAUAACUCCGACCUUAACAAGAAUUUUAACAGCGUGAAUGGAGGGAGGGUUCUGCAGGCAUUGCUGAAAGGCUAAAUUAAAGCUGGUGCCUGUGGGUGUCUGACUGGUAUGAUGGGGAGAGACCUCUGAGAAUUUUGAGAGGAGGAAGACAGGAAAGGGGUGGCUGGGACGUGAAGGCUGAGAGUUUGGUUUUGGCUAUACUGGGUUUGAGAUGGUGGCCAGGCAGUCACAAAGGUAUGUCAGCAUGCCUAGGUGAAUGAAAGAUGAUGAAUGUAAUGUGUUAGGUAAGGGGUUAGGCAUGGAAUGUAGCAGCAUUCAUGAUCCUUCUGAUAAUGGAAUUUGUACAUGAAAAGAGAUCAAGAGAGACUUUGGAAGGAAGUAAAAUGAACUACAGUAAGUGUAGAAAAUGUGACUUCAGAAGAAAUCACAAUAAAAUUAGGAUAUUUUCAUCUGAAAAAGGCUAAGGAAAAGUACAGUUAUAGUCUACUUAAGCACUUCAGGUGACUACAAAAAUGGAGAAAAUUAAGUGUUCUCCAAAAUGAUCAGAACAAGAUGUCAACUUGCAUUGUUACAAGGGCUGUUUAGGUAAAAGAGGAGAAAAAUUGCAGCGAUAAAAGUAUCAGUGCACGAAGGCUGUUGUGCCCCCUCCACUGAAAUGUUUAGGAACAGAUAUGCAUCUACAGUGAAAAGCAUGUGAAAAAAACUCCUUAUUAAUGUGUGUGGGUUUUUUUCCCUGUAUAUUUUUUGCUGUAAAUUUCAGUGUUAUUAUAAUUAGACUACUAAUAACUUUGACUAGGCUAUUAAGAUACCAUUUAGUCUCACUAUAAAUGCUUAGCGCCAUGUUCACAGUGUAUACACCUCUAAGAGCAUUUUGAGUGUAACAUGUACAUCACUUUUCUUUCAGGAUAUGAUAAUUUUCAUAUGAAAGUUUGCUUACUUCAUCUUAAACAGUAUUACUUAACUCAUUCAAUGCUUCAGUGUAUUAACACUGAUAGAAUAUUUGAUGGGUAAGAUACACAGUUUUAAUACUGUUUCAAAGAGGAAAUAAUAUAAGAUCUUUGAAUAUUACAGAAUUAUGACCUGAUUUUACAUAGGUAUUUUCUACACUAGUCACAAUCAUGCAGAAAAAUCUGUUUAGCCUAAAAUGGCAAUGUUAAUGGCCUUGUACAGGAAGAGCAAUGCAUAAAUUGAUAUAGCUUUUACAGUAGGAAGAUAACCUUGGUCAUCCAAAGCUUUUCUACAGAGGUCAGAUGGAAUUAAACAUAUAAGGAAACAAUUUCUCUUUAAAGUCUAGCCCUGUCCCAUGGCUGCUUGUUAAAUAUAGUCUUGGAGUACAAUAUUCCUUCCGUUCUGCCUCUUGAGCAGCUACCUGCUCAGCCUUUUUCUUAAAUCUAUGAAUGAAGGGGAAGGAAAUGCAGAUGGCUAUGAGCCCCUGAGGUGCUGGAGGCAAUGACCUUGUUACUGCUUAAUGCCCAAUGUUAAUUGAAUCUUUGAAAAUUGGAAUUAUUGAGAAGGAAUGAGGUGAAAUGACAUAAAUAUUAGUCUGCUUUGUUCUGUUUUCAACAGCAUUCUCUUUUCUUCUCACUUUUACAACUUAAGUUACUGUUUUGGAUUGUAAAGGUUUCUUUAGUUUGUUUUUAGUUAGUUAGUUAGUUCGUUUGUUUUUUCCCAGUGUAUUCAGAAGUCAAGGGGACUUUUCACACAAAGAAUUUAAUGAAGUUUCCCACAAAUUAAUUAUUUUUUCAUUUGCUUUUUUCUUCAUCAUAACCCCUGUUGUUUGCUUUUCUCAGUUUAUCUGAGAUAGCACUGAAGGCUUUUUUUGGAAAUUGAAUACUUACAUAAAUGCAACAUUUUCUUGGUUCAAAUGACAAGUGAAAAGAAUGGGGAAAUGCUGGCCAACUAUUACUUGGAAAAUUUAUGUCUGAACUUUGAAUCUUCUUAGUAUAUGUUGACCAUUUAAAUAAUUUAUUCCUUGUAUGUUUUAAACUUGUGGCCAGUUAUCAUUGUAACUGAAAGCUUAAAUGAGUUGCUUUGAUAGAAGCAGUGAACUAGUCUGAGGCUCUGCAUUUACAGCUGAAGGCCUUACUCUGACAUAUGCUUCAGUUCCUCAGUUACGACAGCAGAGGUCAAGAAAUAAUCAGGCUCACUCUCUAAGCAUUGUUUAAAACACCUGAAGACCAGCAGUCAUUUUGGCUUGUAGUUAUGGUUGCAAGAUUGAGAUAAAAAAAAAUUUCUCAGUAUUUAUUGAAUCUUCAAGGUUACACCUCAAUAUGGUCAUUUUGAAUCAAUUAGUGAUAAUCUCUUAAACUGCCAUGCCGUUCAUCAAGGAAAUAAUCCAAGCAGUAGAAAGUAGUUUGGAAAUCAAAUCCCACUGUGUUG